rnacentral:tRNA from 1 species
UCAAAGAAUAGUUUAAUAAAAAUAAUAAUUUUGGAGAUUAUUGAUAAAGAAAUAUCUUUUUCUUUGAA